AACGCGAAGAACCUUACCAGCCCUUGACAUCCCGGUCGCGGACUCCAGAGACGGAGUUCUUCAGUUCGGCUGGACCGGAGACAGGUGCUGCAUGGCUGUCGUCAGCUCGUGUCGUGAGAUGUUGGGUUAAGUCCCGCAACGAGCGCAACCCCCGUCCUUAGUUGCUACCAUUUAGUUGAGCACUCUAAGGAGACUGCCGGUGAUAAGCCGCGAGGAAGGUGGGGAUGACGUCAAGUCCUCAUGGCCCUUACGGGCUGGGCUACACACGUGCUACAAUGGCGGUGACAAUGGGACGCGAUAGCGCAAGCUGGAGCAAAUCACAAAAAGCCGGUCUCAGUUCGGAUUGGGGUCUGCAACUCGACCCCAUGAAGCUGGAAUCGCUAGUAAUCGCGGAUCAGCACGCCGCGGUGAAUACGUUCCCGGGCCUUGUACACACCGCUACAGU
rnacentral:rRNA from 1 species